GAGUUUGAUCCUGGCUCAGAUUGAACGCUGGCGGCAUGCCUUACACAUGCAAGUCGAACGGCAGCACGGGAGCAAUCCUGGUGGCGAGUGGCGAACGGGUGAGUAGCGCAUCGGAACGUGCCCAGCCGUGGGGGAUAGCCCGGCGAAAGCCGGAUUAAUACCGCAUACGACCUGAGGGUGAAAGCGGGGGACUCGAAAGGGCCUCGCGCGAUUGGAGCGGCCGAUGUCAGAUUAGGUAGUUGGUGGGGUAAAGGCCUACCAAGCCGACGAUCUGUAGCUGGUCUGAGAGGACGACCAGCCACACUGGGACUGAGACACGGCCCAGACUCCUACGGGAGGCAGCAGUGGGGAAUUUUGGACAAUGGGCGCAAGCCUGAUCCAGCCAGGCCGCGUGCGGGAAGAAGGCC
rnacentral:rRNA from 1 species